rnacentral:miRNA from 1 species
CUGGUUUCUGUGAGCUGCUU